rnacentral:rRNA from 1 species
UGGCGGACGGGUGAGUAAUGUCUGGGAAACUGCCUGAUGGAGGGGGAUAACUACUGGAAACGGUAGCUAAUACCGCAUAACGUCGCAAGACCAAAGAGGGGGACCUUCGGGCCUCUUGCCAUCGGAUGUGUCCAGAUGGGAUUAGCUAGUAGGUGGGGUAACGGCUCACCUAGGCGACGAUCCCUAGCUGGUCUGAGAGGAUGACCAGCCACACUGGAACUGAGACACGGUCCAG